UACGAAGGGUGCAAGCGUUAGUCGGAAUUACUGGGCGUAAAGCGUGCGCAGGCGGUUGUGCAAGACAGAUGUGAAAUCCCCGGGCUUAACCUGGGAAUUGCAUUUGUGACUGCACGGCUAGAGUGUGUCAGAGGGGGGUAGAAUUCCACGUGUAGCAGUGAAAUGCGUAGAUAUGUGGAGGAAUACCGAUGGCGAAGGCAGCCCCCUGGGAUAACACUGACGCUCAUGCACGAAAGCGUGGGGAGCAAACAGG
rnacentral:rRNA from 1 species